UAACCUGCCCUUGACUCUGGGAUAAGCCUGGGAAACUGGGUCUAAUACCGGAUAUGACCUUCCAUCGCAUGGUGGUUGGUGGAAAGCUUUUGUGGUUUUGGAUGGACUCGCGGCCUAUCAGCUUGUUGGUGGGGUAAUGGCCUACCAAGGCGACGACGGGUAGCCGGCCUGAGAGGGUGACCGGCCACACUGGGACUGAGACACGGCCCAGACUCCUACGGGAGGCAGCAGUGGGGAAUAUUGCACAAUGGGCGAAAGCCUGAUGCAGCGACGCCGCGUGAGGGAUGACGGCCUUCGGGUUGUAAACCUCUUUCAGUAGGGAAGAAGCGUAAGUGACGGUACCUGCAGAAGAAGCGCCGGCUAACUACGUGCCAGCAGCCGCGGUAAUACGUAGGGCGCAAGCGUUAUCCGGAAUUAUUGGGCGUAAAGAGCUCGUAGGCGGUUUGUCGCGUCUGCCGUGAAAGUCCGGGGCUCAACUCCGGAUCUGCGGUGGGUACGGGCAGACUAGAGUGAUGUAGGGGAGACUGGAAUUCCUGGUGUAGCGGUGAAAUGCGCAGAUAUCAGGAGGAACACCGAUGGCGAAGGCAGGUCUCUGGGCAUUAACUGACGCUGAGGAGCGAAAGCAUGGGGAGCGAACAGGAUUAGAUACCCUGGUAGUCCAUGCCGUAAACGUUGGGCACUAGGUGUGGGGGACAUUCCACGUUUUCCGCGCCGUAGCUAACGCAUUAAGUGCCCCGCCUGGGGAGUACGGCCGCAAGGCUAAAACUCAAAGGAAUUGACGGGGGCCCGCACAAGCGGCGGAGCAUGCGGAUUAAUUCGAUGCAACGCGAAGAACCUUACCAAGGCUUGACAUGAACCGGACCGCUGCAGAAAUGUGGUUUCCCCUUUGGGGCUGGUUUACAGGUGGUGCAUGGUUGUCGUCAGCUCGUGUCGUGAGAUGUUGGGUUAAGUCCCGCAACGAGCGCAACCCUCGUUCUAUGUUGCCAGCACGUGAUGGUGGGGACUCAUAGGAGACUGCCGGGGUCAACUCGGAGGAAGGUGGGGACGACGUCAAAUCAUCAUGCCCCUUAUGUCUUGGGCUUCACGCAUGCUACAAUGGCCGGUACAAAGGGUUGCGAUACUGUGAGGUGGAGCUAAUCCCAAAAAGCCGGUCUCAGUUCGGAUUGGGGUCUGCAACUCGACCCCAUGAAGUCGGAGUCGCUAGUAAUCGCAGAUCAGCAACGCUGCGGUGAAUACGUUCCCGGGCCUUGUACACACCGCCCGUCAAGUCACGAAAGUUGGUAACACCCGAAGCCGGUGGCCUAACCCCUUGUGGGAGGGAG
rnacentral:rRNA from 1 species